AUUGAACGCUGGCGGCAUGCUUUACACAUGCAAGUCGAACGGCAGCGCGGGCUUCGCCCUGGCGGCGAGUGGCGAACGGGUGAGUAAUACAUCGGAACGUGCCCAGUUGCUUGGGAUAGCUCGGCGACAGCCGGAUUAAUACCGCAUACGACCUGACGGUGAAAGCGGGGGAGCUUCGGACCUUGCGCUCUUGGAGCGGCCGAUGGCAGAGUAGCUAGUUGGUGGGGUAAAGGCCUACCAAGGCGACGAUCCGUAGCUGGUCUGAGAGGACGACCAGCCACACUGGGACUGAGACACGGCCCAGACUCCUACGGGAGGCAGCAGUGGGGAAUUUUGGACAAUGGGCGAAAGCCUGAUCCAGCAAUGCCGCGUGUGUGAUGAAGGCCUUCGGGUUGUAAAGCACUUUUGGCGGGAACGAAAAGGACUGUGCCAAUACCACGGUUCGAUGACGGUACCCGCAGAAUAAGCACCGGCUAACUACGUG
rnacentral:rRNA from 1 species